CAGCUCCUCGAGAGGAGGCUACAGUCUUUCUCAGCAGACAGGAAGUGGAUGUAGUGACGGCAGACUGUCUGGCCCUGAGGGAGCAAGUGAAAUUCUACCAGGAACAACUGGCUCACAUAGAGGCACAGCAUGAGACGACGGUUCAGAACAUGGUGGUCCCUGUAGAGGGUCCAGCUGCAGCAGGGAGAGAAGUCCUGGAGUUUUACAACCCUGACAUCACCCCAGUAUCAUGGAUAUCAAGGAGUACUAUAGCCAGCUGGCUGAGAGCCUCCAGAUUGCAGAGCAUGAGAAGGAGCUUGCAGAGCUGGAGAGGUGUGGUGAGGAGCCUGAAAGGUGUGGUGAGGAGCUGGAGAGGUG